rnacentral:rRNA from 1 species
AGCGGUAAGACGGAGGAGCAAGGGUUAUCCAGAAUCCAUGGGCGUAAAACAUUCGAAAGGGGGUUUAAUAAAUCACACUGAUAAUCCUGGGGGCCUACCUCGAAAUCGCAGUCGAACCUUUUAACUAGAGCAUAGAAGGGGUAAAGGGAAUAUCCACGGCAAGGUGAAAUGUGUAGAGAUUGGAAGGAACAACGCAUGGCGAAGGCCCUUUACUGGGAUUCUAUAACACUCAGAGAAGAAAGUAAAAGUAGCAAAUCGGAUUAGAUCCCCCAGUAGUCUUAGCUGUAAACAAUGGAUAGUAGAUGUUUAUCGGAUCGAUCUGUGCAGUAUUAAAAGAUACAGCGUUAAGUAUCCCCCCCCGGAAGUAUGCUCGCAAGAGUGAAACUCAAAGGAAUUGACGCGGGCCCGCACAAGCGGUGGAGCAUGUGGUUUAAUUCGAUGCAACGCGAAGAACCUUACCAGGGUUUGACAUGAUACGAAUUUCUUUGAAAGAAGAAAGUGCCGUUUGGAACGUAUACACAGGUGGUGCAUGGCGGUCGUCAGCUCGCGUCGUGAGAUGUUGGGUUAAGUCCCGCAACGAGCGCAACCCUCAUUUUUAGUUGCCAUAUGGAAAUCUUGAAAGACCCCCGCUUAAAAACCGGAGGAAGGCGGGGAUGACGUCAAGUCAGCAUGCCCAUUACACCCUGGGCUACACACAUGACACACUGGGCGAGACAAAGCGAUGCAACUCCGCAAAGACUAGAUAAUCUAUAAAAUCGUUCUAAGUUCGGAUUGUAGGCUGCAACUCGCUUCGUGAAG